rnacentral:tRNA from 1 species
GGCCUGGUAGACAAGUGGUAAGUCGAGGGACUGCAAAUCCCUUAUGCGGGAGUUCGAUUCUCCCCCAGGCCU